AAUCAACGCUGGCGGCGUGCCUAACACAUGCAAGUCGAACGCGAAAGUGGAGCAAUCCAUGAGUAGAGUGGCAAACGGGUGAGUAACACGUGGGUGACCUGCCUUCGAGUGGGGGAUAACGUCCCGAAAGGGACGCUAAUACCGCAUAACAUGCUGUCUUUUAAGAGAGAGACAUCAAAGCCGGGGACCGCAAGGCCUGGCGCUUGAAGAGGGGCCCGCGCCUGAUUAGCUAGUUGGUGGGGUAAUGGCUCACCAAGGCAACGAUCAGUAUCCGGCCUGAGAGGGCGGACGGACACACUGGGACUGAGACACGGCCCAGACUCCUACGGGAGGCAGCAGUGGGGAAUUGUUCGCAAUGGGCGCAAGCCUGACGACGCAACGCCGCGUGGAGGAUGAAGAUCUUCGGGUCGUAAACUCCUUUCGAUCGAGACGAAUGACCCUUGGGCUAACAUCCUGAGGGA
rnacentral:rRNA from 1 species